rnacentral:sRNA from 1 species
UCGUGGAGAUCCACGUUCCUCAGGAACCAU